rnacentral:rRNA from 1 species
AUACGGAGGAUCCGAGCGUUAUCCGGAUUUAUUGGGUUUAAAGGGAGCGUAGGUGGACAGUUAAGUCAGUUGUGAAAGUUUGCGGCUCAACCGUAAAAUUGCAGUUGAUACUGGCUGUCUUGAGUACAGUAGAGGUGGGCGGAAUUCGUGGUGUAGCGGUGAAAUGCUUAGAUAUCACGAUGAACUCCGAUUGCGAAGGCAUCUCACUGGACUGCAACUGACACUGAUGCUCUAAAGUGUGGGUAUCAAACAGGAUUAGAUACCCUGGUAGUCCACACAGUAAACGAUGAAUACUCGCUGUUUGCGAUAUACAGUAAGCGGCCAAGCGAAAGCAUUAAGUAUUCCCCCUGGGGAGUACGCCGGCAACGGUGAAACUCAAAUGAAUUGACGGGG